CAUAGAUGUUCAUAUGAUCUUGAAUUAGCUGCUUUUUGGUUUCACCAAUCAUCGAUUUGGGUCGUGAUCCGCUCAUCGAGACAUCGACCCUUGUUGUGCCCGCCUCGUUCCCGAACCUCGAUCCGGGUCAGGAAACGCACAAACGACCAUCGAACCCGGCUACUAUGGGUUCUCCAAUCCCUAGCCUCUCAUUUCCUCCCACACGCCGUCUCGCCUCUCUUUGCCCCAUAUCGAUGGCGCCUCGGUGUUGCGGCGGCGUCGAGUGCCUAUAUCGUCCUAAUCUCCUCAAGCCAGGGCCUCGCGCACACCAGCGCCUGCCCCAUCGGGAGCGACCUGCCCACUCACAUGCGCGGCGAGCGCGCCGCCGUCGCCCGGUCGCCGACGUCCUGAUCCACUACGCCGUGACCAUCUUCAUCGUUGACCCCGCCUUCGCCGCCAGGGCAACUGGUCCUUCCUAUCGCUCCAUGGCCUCGCGGCCGAGGUGCCUGGUGCGUCCUUUUGCCGCCUUCCACACCAGCGGCGUGGACAGGGUGGUGUGUACCGGUUCUAGAUGUGGUCGACGCCGACGAGUACCGGGUACAUGUGAUUGAUGCUUUGCUUUUGGCCAUGGAUGCAAUUGGGAACUCAUUCAAUGAGUUGAGGCUACAGGUAUAGAUGAUGGUGCGGAUGGGAAGGGUUGCAAGCUGACGUGCGUGCUAGCUGUCAUUGCAGGGACUUUUUAUUUUUCUGAUAGUUCAGUGUCUUCUAAUGAUUCUGAUAGUGCUAUUUGCCACGCAUACACCAUGUUUCUCUAUUGUAAUAUGAUGACCUAUUUACAUGCGACUCAGAGAGAAACUGCCUUGCAUGUACACACUUGCUACAAACUGAUGUAUUGAACUUUCAAGGAUUUUGAUUGGUCGCCGAAAUAACCUAUUCUCCUUUCAUAUAAUAUUUCUAACGGAGAUAAUUAUUUCCUUUUUUGUUUUAGGUUUUCAACAUCACGAACUUCGUACUUAUGGAGUGGAGCUACCAAAAUAUCUAGGAGGUAAAAUCACUAUAUACAUAUUGUUUUCCCACGGCUGCAUUAGGAGACGCGCAUCGGCUCACCGAAGUAAACUUAUGUAUUCCUGCUUUUCUGUGUGGACUUCUAUAGGCUUACUGAAGUACAACUUGUUUAUUCUUUCCAGAAAUUAACUCCUUGAUCUUUGAAAUUGUCAAUCUCCAUAUCACAUAGAAGGUGCUCAGUGCAAUGCAAUUGUCCAUCUCUAUAUCACACAGAAGUGAGCCUUUUUGAAGUUGUUUUAUGAAAUAAGGCUUGUAUAAGGUCUGGUCUUUCGGGUAUACAAUCCUUCCUUAAGAAUACUAUACUUGCAGGAGAAUAACAUUUAUUAUAGGAUGCCACUUUGUAAGCUCCCAUUCAGAAAAGUAUACAAUAGCACAUUUGAAA